UCUAUUGUCUAGCUAUAGGUGGGGGGGGAGAGUUGUGAUUAUGAUUUGGGAGCAAUGAAAAAGGAAAAGAAAUGACUCUUUGUGCUUAAGUGAAUUGUUUUAUUGGGACCAGUAUAGAAGCCUCUAGCUCAAGUUUUGAAAGUCUUGGCCCCCAGCCUAAAAAAAAAAAAAAAAAAAAAAGAGAAAAGAAAAAAAAGAAAAGAAAAAGAAAGAAAAAGGGGGCUAGCAAAGUUGUUAGGAGCUAAGUAAUGUUUUGAGGUUGUGAAAAAUCUCUUGUAGAUUUCAAAGAGAAAGAGUUAAUGUUCUUAGAAUCUUUUGGUGAGAGAUGUGAGUUGGGUUUGACAUUUGGGAAUGAUUG
rnacentral:lncRNA from 1 species